rnacentral:rRNA from 1 species
CGGAUUUGGCGGCAAGAUAGCUUUUUAGAGGAACCUGCCCUGUGAACGAUGAUCCACGAGAGCCUUACUUUAUUUUGAAAUCAGUUUGUAUACCGCUGUUGUCAGUUAGAUUUUUGAGAAUAUUUUCUUUUUGGUAAAGCCAAUGACUUCAAGUAAAGGUGCAGCUUAUAGUAAAGUUAGAGGUGGGUUACAUUUAUAUGAAUAAGACGGAUUAAGGAUUUAAUUGACUUAUGAAGGUGGAUUUAACCGUAAA